rnacentral:lncRNA from 1 species
ACCACCAGCCUCACCCUCCUGGGACCCGGGCCUGUUGUCUUCCUUAGCGCGGAACCUAAUCACAUUUCUAUCCCAACCCUCUCUGGCACCCUAACAACCCCUUCCUUCCCUCCUGGGACAGGCUGAAGGCACCUUGAAUCCUCGUCUCACCUCAGCUGAUUUCCCCAGCCCUGGUCUCUAUUCCCUGGUUGAGGAUAUCAAUCCGUCCCAGACCUCGGCUUCCCUCUCUCAAUCCUUUCUUAUUCCCCCCCCCCCGGCAAUUUUUUUUUUUUUCAUUUAAUCUGGGACAUAUUUACCAGUCGGGAUCCUGUGGGGGCGGGGUCCUUCUCGCCUGGGACCUCAAGAGCGGACCUUUCCUUAGAUGACCCUAGAGACUGGCUUUCCAGGCAGGUCUCAGAAACCCAAAUGCUGGGCCCCCAUCUCCUCCCAUUCAGGAUUCUUGGAAGUCUAGGAUCCCAGCUCUCCUUAUCUGGGAAGAGAGGGGUCUGCACCCCCAGCGCACGUCCUAGGGGAACCUCAAGGAGAUGACUGGUGAAAAGUGAGGUCACAAAAGUGGGCUCUAACACAACUAGAGUCCUUCUUAAAAGAGAUUAAGGACCAGUGAGAUGGCUCAUCAGGAAAGGUUCAUUGAAGAAUGCAACAAAAUCAUUUUUAAAGAAGUGUGCAAGGCCUGAUGGCACAUGCCUUUAAUCCCAGUCCUUCAGAGGCACAGACAAAUGGAUGUCUAACCUGUUGACUGGCUGAGUGGGCUUGGUCAGCCAUAAAUAGGACAUUUCUAUCGCACUCAUUCUCCAAGGCCAAAGGAUCAUCGUCAUGCAGAGGGAGAGAGGCAGAUUCUAAGAGCCAGAGGCCAGGAUUGGGCUAUGCCCCACCUGUAACUUUAACUACAAAUGGUUCUUCUACAUUGCCUGUUCCUGGGAUGGAAAUCAGGUCUUUGUUUCACAAAGUUGUUUAUAGCCAUCUUGCAAGCCUACCUCUGUUUCAAUAAGGCUCAAGGCCUAGUGAAGUGAGGCCAGAGGAAACCUGGGUGCCUCAGUUACCUCAGGAAGAACUCCACAUGCCAGCCUGGAUCUUCCACAUGGCAGUCUCUCACCAUGGC